CUCAGUGAACUGAAACAUCUGAGUAGCUGAAGGAAGGAAACUCAACCGAGACCCUGUUAGUAGUGGCGAGCGAGAGCAGAACAAGGGUUUUCAUCAAAAGAAAUCUGAAGUAGUUUCAUUCGAUUUGUUGUGGAUUUGAUGAUGGAAAAACCAGCAAGCAGCAAGCAUAGUUAGAAAAGUUGUUGUAGCGCGCCCUACGAAGUUGUACAAAGUCAGCAACUAUUUUGGGGCACAAAGGCAACACAGGACUGAUGAUGGGGUGGGGCGCACAGUGAACUGGUUUUCUAAAAAGGAUUGGAAUAUCCGAGAAAAGAAGGUGAUAGCCAUGUUCAUUCGUUCCCAUGGUUUGAUCCUUCCCAAUAAAAUGCGGCGUGUUCGAAUGAUGAUCGCUGAGAAAGGGGGGCCACCCUCUAAGCCUAAGUAUUCCUCAAUGACCGAUAGCAUACAAGUACCAUGAGGGAAAGGUGAAAAGAACCUCGGGCCACCCUGUCCUCAUCAAGGCGUUUCUUGAUAUAUGG
rnacentral:rRNA from 1 species